rnacentral:lncRNA from 1 species
GUAGGUGGGUGGGUUAUUUUCAAAAUUUGAUAUUGGUUGGCUCGAUAAUUGAUCUAAUUCUCUCCUCAUAGUAGACUGAGUUAAUUGAUCUAUUUGUACUUCUAGCCUGGUGAGGGAUUGUUGUUGUAUCAUAAUCAUUUGUUGAAGUUGGCUAAACCUAUCAUCGGCUAGAGGGGUCUGUUGAGGAGGUGGGUAUGGAAGCUGAUUGUAAUAGGAUGGCUAGA